rnacentral:rRNA from 1 species
UUUCGCAAUGCCCGAAAGGGUGACGAAGCGACGCCGCGUGUGGGAAGAAGGCCUUCGGGUUGUAAACCGCUGUUGGGAGUUAGGAAGUGUGGGGGUGUUAAUAGCGCUUCCACUUGACUAAAGCUCCAGAGGAAGCCACGGCUAACUCUGUGCCAGCAGCCGCGGUAAUACAGAGGCGGCAAGCGUUGUUCGGAAUUAUUGGGCGUAAAGAGCACGUAGGCGGCUCUGCAAGUCAGCUGUGAAAGCCUUCUGCUUAACGGAAGAACAGCAGUUGAAACUACAGGGCUUGAGUGCGGGAGGGGAGAGUGGAACUUCUGGUGGAGCGGUGAAAUGCGUAGAUAUCAGAAGGAACGCCGGCGGCGAAAGCGGCUCUCUGGUCCGUAACUGACGCUGAGUGUGCGAAAGCUAGGGGAGCAAACGGGAUUAGAUACCCCGGUAGUCCCAGCCGUAAACGAUGGGCACUAAGUAGAGGGGUUUU